rnacentral:rRNA from 1 species
CAACCUGAACUCGGAUGUGAUUACCCGCUGAACUUAAGCAUAUCAUUU